rnacentral:hammerhead_ribozyme from 1 species
AUCCGGCUGACGAGUCCACAAAAACAAGACGAAACGCGCAUCCUGCAU